AUGGAACGACUGGUGCCCAUGCUGCUCUACAUGCUGUCCAAGUGCCACUUUGUGCUUGUUUCUGUGGUCUUCUUCAUCUGAUUUGGUCUGACCAUCUUUGUUGGGAUCAGAGGACCUGAAGUGAUUCAGACUUCUGCAGCUAAUUUUUCACUAAAGAAUAGCAAAAAGCUAAAACCAAUCCUAAUAUGUUCAAAUCCACUGUCUACGUAAAAUCAGCAACUGGAGCUGACAUGAGUUGUUGAGUUGGAGCAAUCAAAAGAAACUUCUAAUCAGACAAGCUUUCCCAUGACUCUCAAAGUCAAUGGUGUGGCUCAAGACAGAACCAUGAUGUACAUUCACAGCAAGGUUCACAAUUGGACAAGGACCCUCAUGUGUGUGGGGAAAUGUGCAGAAAUCAUUGUGGCUCACCUUGGCUACUCGAACUACACCCAAUACACAGUAACUGUGGGAUUCGAGCACCUGAACCUCCCCAUCAAGAAGAUGAACUUCACAUGGAAGACGUAUGACCCUGUGUUUUCCCAGUUUGAAAUUUGGUUUUGCUUUGUCUUUGUGGUGCUCACCUUCAUUGUCACCUGCCUGUUUGUGCAUUCCCUGCGCAAGUUCUCCAUGAAAGACUGGGGCAUUCAGCAGAAGUGGAUGUCUGUCCUCCUGUCACUGCUAAUGCUGUACAAUGACCCAUUCUUCCCCCUCUCCUUCCUGGUGAACAGCUGGUUCCCAGGGAUGCUGGAUGAUCUCUUCCAGUCUGUGUUCCUGUGUGCCUUGCUGCUCCUCUGGCUGUGUGUGUACCACGGGAUGUGGGUUCAAGGAGAAAGAAAAUGCCUUACUUUCUAUUUGUCUAAAUUCUUCAUCAUUGGACUAUUGUGCCUGGCUUCUGUCACUCUAGGAAUAUGGCAAACAGUUAAUGAAUUACAUGACCCAAUGUACCAGUAUCGAGUGGACACUGGAAAUUUUCAGGGAAUGAAGAUUUUCUUCAUGGUAGUGGCAGCUGUGUACAUCCUGUACCUCUUGUUCUUGAUGGUGUAUGUGUGCUCCAAGCUCUGCAACAUGUCUUACAUGGAUCUCAGGUUAAAAUUUUUGACAACAUUGACCUUUGUAGUGUUUGUUAUUAGCAUCGUCAUCCUUUAUUUAAGGUUUGAAGCACAAGUAUUGCAGGACAACUUUGUAGCAGAGCUGUCAACUCAUUACCAGAAUCCAACAGAAUUCUUAUCAUUCUAUGGCUUGUUGAACUUCUACCUGUACACUUUGGCCUUUAUAUAUUCUCCUUCAAAGAAUGGUCUUAUGAGUACCAGUUGAAAGACAACCAGGCAUUUUCCACACUCAAUGACUUCGAUGACGAUGUGAUCUACAGGAGUGACUAUGAAGAAAUGCUGCUGCAGAAUGGCCAGGCCAUUUGGGCCAAGUACAAGGAAGAGUUGAACAGCAACUAG